UGUAGUAGUUGCCAAUCUCUAAGGCUAUACGUUUAUUAGGCUUUCGCUAAUUGAAUUCAUUGGAAGUUGAAAACACGUCCAAAAUGUUUAGUUUUACGACACCAAUUAUUCCUAAAACAAGUAAUUGUUUCACUGUCUAAUUUUAUAUAUUAAUAAUAAUGUUUCAACAAACUAUAUUGACGUUGAUGUGUCAAAAACUCAUGGCAAAGCAUGCUGUGCGACGAUUCAGUGUCGUGUUGCGAUCCAAUCCAAUCCGAGGUAAAGCCAUCGUCUCAAUGGCGGCGAAGUGCCCAUGCGGCCGGUCAACUGUCGGUUCGUUUGCCAUCUUCACUGCCUGCCGAAGUCGCCUGCUCAGCUAUUGAGGUGUCAUCAAGCCCUAAAGUGAGUGAAAAGCCGUACACGCGAAAGAAAGCGCCACUGCACACAAAUGCUCUAUUUGAGGACUUCGGAUCUCGCACCGGCAGCCAGCAGUCAACGGCCCGAGUAGCAAGUCAACACAUCUUCGUAAAGAAACAACUGUUUAUUUCCUAGUAGUGCAAACGUGGUGUUCGCCGGUCGGUACCGCGCAACUGAAUGUGCAGGCCCCAGAAAGUGCGCGACGGCGCGCGUCGGCCAGCGGGAAGCCGCUCCCUGCUUGGGAGCAAUGUGACACGCGUGUGCCGGCCAGGGUCCCGCGCGACGAGCAGGAGGUAGGCGCACACUAUGUACUGUGCUGCCGUUUUGUGGUUUCUGCCACACGUAUAUUCUUGCUUGUAACUGUUCUUUUCUUUAUUCUAAAGCUUGUGCCUGUAAUGAAUCGUCGUAGGGUUUGACAGCACAAAUAAGUAAAUGUGAUAAUCGAACGACACCUCAUUUAAUGGUGUUGUCUUUCCCAUAUUUGUUACUCUGCUUAACAUGCUGAAAGGAGUUUUUAUUGGUUUUAUAUGUAUUCGCGCUGUCCUAGCUUCAGUCAUGAUAUCUGGAUCUGUCAAUUUUCUUUUUUAUCGGCGAGUAUAUUUGUUGUUAUGAACAUUAUUCAUGUGUGCAUUUUGGACUUAUGUUUAAGCUAGCAAUAAAAUAUUUAUUGUGUUUUGAA